AUUGAACGCUGGCGGCAGGCUUAACACAUGCAAGUCGAGCGAGCGGCGGACGGGCGAGUAAUGUCUGGGAAACUGCCUGAUGGAGGGGGAUAACUACUGGAAACGGUAGCUAAUACCGCAUACCAUCAGAUGUGCCCAGAUGGGAUUAGCUAGUAGGGGGGGUAAUGGCUCACCUAGGCGACGAUCCCUAGCUGGGCGGAGAGGAUGACCAUGCAUGCUGGAGCGGAGACACGGUCCAGACUCCUACGGGAGGCAGCAGAGGGGAGUAUUGCACAAUGGGCGCAAGCCUGAUGCGGCCAUGCCGCGUGUGUGAAGAAGGCCUUCGGGUUGUAAAGCACUGUCAGCGAGGAGACGUUACUCGCAGAAGAAGCACCGGCUAACUCCGUGCCAGCAGCCGCGGUAAUAC
rnacentral:rRNA from 1 species